UACGUAGGGUGCGAGCGUUAAUCGGAAUUACUGGGCGUAAAGCGUGCGCAGGCGGUUCGUUGUGUCCGAUGUGAAAGCCCCGAGCUCAACUUGGGAAUGGCAUUGGAAACUGGCGGGCUGGAGUGUGGCAGAGGGGGGUGGAAUUCCACGUGUAGCAGUGAAAUGCGUAGAGAUCGUAAGGAAGACCAGUGGCGAAGGCGGGUCUCUGGACAGUUCCUGACACUGAGGCACGAAGGCCAGGGGAGCAAACGGG
rnacentral:rRNA from 1 species